UACGUAGGGUGCAAGCGUUGUCCGGAAUUAUUGGGCGUAAAGAGCUCGUAGGUGGCCUGCCGCGUCCGCUGUGAAAACUCGGGGCUUAACCCCGAGCCUGCAGUGGAUACGGGCAGACUAGAGGUAGGUAGGGAGAAUGGAAUUCCCGGUGUAGCGGUGAAAUGCGCAGAUAUCGGGGAGGAACACCGGUGGCGAAGGCGGUCUCUGGGCCUUACCUGCGCUGAGGAGCGAAAGCGUGGGGAGCGAACAGGAUUGA
rnacentral:rRNA from 1 species